rnacentral:misc_RNA from 1 species
UGAUCCCAUCACGCAUGGAACAUUCGAAUCAACCACACGCGUUCGCAUACAACCACCUUUCUCUGCUCCUCUAUUCACGUGAUAGCUGUAUACCCCCUCUCCCCGACACACACACACACACAAACACACGCACGCGCGCACACGGACACAGACACAGGGUCGCUCGAAGAAGAGGAAAACAAAGGAAAUGGCGGCACCGUUCGACAAGUCAAAAAAUGUGGCGCAGUCUAUCGAUCAGCUGAUUGGCCAGACGCCGGCGUUGUACCUAAACAAGCUGAACAAUACCAAGGCAAAGGUUGUGCUCAAGAUGGAGUGCGAAAACCCGAUGGCGUCCGUGAAGGAUCGCCUUGGCUUCGCCAUCUACGAUAAAGCGGAGAAGGAGGGCAAGCUGAUCCCUGGCAAGUCUAUCGUGGUCGAGUCGUCCAGUGGAAACACGGGUGUGUCGCUAGCGCACUUGGGUGCGAUUCGUGGCUACAAGGUCAUCAUUACGAUGCCCGAAUCCAUGUCUCUCGAGCGCCGCUGCCUGCUGCGUAUCUUCGGCGCCGAGGUAAUCCUCACCCCUGCCGCUCUUGGCAUGAAGGGUGCCGUGGCCAUGGCCAAGAAAAUCGUCGCCGCUAACCCCAACGCCGUCUUGGCGGAUCAGUUCGCAACCAAGUACAACGCCCUCAUACACGAGGAAACCACGGGGCCUGAGAUUUGGGAGCAGACGAACCACAAUGUCGACUGCUUCAUAGCCGGCGUUGGAACAGGUGGCACGCUGACAGGUGUGGCGCGGGCGCUAAAGAAGAUGGGCAGUCAUGCCCGCAUCGUUGCCGUGGAGCCGACGGAGUCACCUGUGCUGUCGGGUGGAAAACCAGGCCCGCACAAAAUUCAGGGCAUCGGCCCGGGCUUUGUGCCAGACGUGCUCGACCGCAGUCUCAUCGACGAGGUGCUUUGCGUGGCAGGUGAUGAUGCCAUUGAGACGGCACUGAAGCUCACGCGCAGCGACGGGGUCUUCUGCGGCUUCUCUGGUGGCGCCAACGUUUACGCGGCGCUGAAGAUCGCGGAGCGUCCGGAGAUGGAGGGCAAGACAAUUGUGACGGUCAUUCCGUCCUUCGGUGAGCGCUACCUCUCCACCACGCUGUACAGGAGCGUUCGGGAUGAGGUGUCGUCCCUGCCCGUAGUCGAUGCCUCGGAGCUGCAGGACUGAGCUACCAUCGGCAGCGCCGUCACUGCAGCCUUCGUGUGACGCGAAUGUGGAGAAGGAAAGGGCCAACGCUGGAGAUCCACGCCUGCAUAAGCAGGAGGGAUGGAGACAGAAGAUACGGUGGCAGUGGGAAUACGGUAGCGGAGCGCAACGCAUUUCUUGAUGCCUUUCAAGCCGCACACCGCCGCUGCCUUCUUUGCAGCUCCAGUAUCUGUUUGAAGCGCACGUGCAGCAAGCAGAGUGGUGGGAGCGGUGACCAUCGCCGGUGAUCAGGAGGAGGAUACCUCGCUUUCUCCUUCAUUCUCUUGUCCGCCUCUUCCUUUUUUUUUUCGGUGGUGCUCCUCUGCUACCACCUCAGUCUUACUGCUUAGCGUGUGUGACGGCCACCAUUUCGCGAAGGGUAUAUUUUAUGUGUGCUCGUGGUGGUGCAAUGAGGAGGUCUUGCCAUCCCUCUUCUCUUCCUCUUGCUUUCGUGAUAUUCAGUUUUCCUCUAUUAUCUGUGGUACUAUCACGUCCACCUACCCACCUACCCACCCACACACACGUACACUGGGCGAGAAAGGAAGCGAAAUAUAUCAGCUGUCUCUUUCUCUCUCUCUCGUCCUUCCUCAUAUGUGUUUCCAUCCAGCUCUGUAUGCAUACAGCUGAUGUAGCGCACUACGUCUUGUCCCGGGUCGCUCCUCCCAACGCGCGUGAGUUUGUGUCUAUAUAUCAGCAUGCGCGCUUCUCCUUUCUUGUUUGGUUUCUUUGCUUCUCUUUUUCGCCUUGUUCUACAAGACGUUUGUGAGUGGUUUCCUAGUGCUUCCUCCUGCCGGUUCCACCGGACUCUCCUCUCUCUAUGGUUGUGUGGGACCGUCGCGGAAGUGUUGCCGCAUGUUGACACACACACUCCCUCCUCACUGGGGUUCUGCAUAUGAAAGGUUCGUUUCCCGCGACGCGCGCGCGUAGUGCGGUAGAGCCGGCGAAACAGAUAAGUAGGCUGAUUCGAGUCGGCGUCGAAGAGAUGAACGAGUAGAUGGGGGAAGGUAGUGUGGAGAGGAGGAGGGAGGAGGCGAGGCGAGGGCCGCAUGCCCCUUUCCUGUCAACACGCAUCGGCUGUAGCUACCCUGAUCUGUCUUCUCAUCUCUUUCGAUGCUCAUCUGUGAAUGUACCGUCUUUUUUUUUUUUGCGUGCGUGCGCGUGUGCUUUCAGUGUUUUAUCGCCACUCAUCUCUACAGUGGAAGAAGGGGCUAUCACUUCCCAGCGUGGACCUUACACAACCGG